rnacentral:rRNA from 1 species
AUUGAACGCUGGCGGCAGGCCUAACACAUGCAAGUCGAACGGUAACAGGAAGAAGCUUGCUUCUUUGCUGACGAGUGGCGGACGUGUGAGUAAUGUCUGGGAAACUGCCUGAUGGAGGGGGAUAACUACUGGAAACGGUAGCUAAUACCGCAUGACGUCGCAAGACCAAAGAGGGGGACCUUCGGGCCUCUUGCCAUCGGAUGUGCCCAGAUGGGAUUAGCUAGUAGGUGGGGUAACGGCUCACCUAGGCGACGAUCCCUAGCUGGUCUGAGAGGAUGACCAGCCACACUGGAACUGAGACACGGUCCAGACUCCUACGGGAGGCAGCAGUGGGGAAUAUUGCACAAUGGGCGCAAGCCUGAUGCAGCCAUGCCGCGUGUAUGAAGAAGGCCUUCGGGUUGUAAAGUACUUUCAGCGGGGAGGAAGGGAGUAAAGUUAAUACCUUGGCUCAUUGACGUUACCCGCAGAAGAAGCACCGGCUAACUCCGUG